rnacentral:lncRNA from 1 species
CCGAUAUAUAAAUAUCCUUGUGAACAACUUGAAGACUGUCUUUCGUGGGAAGAAAGCUGUAGAAGAAGGCCAAGACUCCAACCAUUCCUAUGAAGAGCCAUCCGUCGGAAAUUAACUACUGAUUUUUUUUUUAGACUCUGCUUUAUUACUCCCUUGUUUUGAGACGUUGUUGGACCUCGUUUUGAGGAUUAUUAUUUUUGGGGUUUUCUUUUAAUCGUUUAAUUUUUUUUCCUUACCUCGUAUUUUUUUUUUGUGAUGGCCUUUAGGCGAUGGAAAGAACACAUAUGAUAAGAUUCGGGGGAAGUGUCCCAAGUGGACCUUUAGCAAGUCGGGUUCCUACUCGUACUACCGAAUUAUUGGAUAGGUUCCAAGAACUAACAUGGGACCAUACUCUUGGAGUAGAAGUGCAGCUACUCCUCUACCGUGACCUAUGGAGGGAAAUGGAAACUGAAGGAUGCACACCUGAACCGUUGUACUUCGCGGAGCGAGUUAGG